rnacentral:rRNA from 1 species
AUUGAACGCUGGCGGCAUGCCUUACACAUGCAAGUCGAACGGCAGCACGGGUGCUUGCACCUGGUGGCGAGUGGCGAACGGGUGAGUAAUACAUCGGAACGUACCUUAUCGUGGGGGAUAACGCAGCGAAAGCUGUGCUAAUACCGCACACGCCCUGAGGGGGAAAGCGGGGGAUCGCAAGACCUCGCGCGAUUAGAGCGGCCGAUGCCUGAUUAGCUAGUUGGUGGGGUAAAAGCCCACCAAGGCGACGCUCAGUAGCUGGUCUGAGAGGACGAUCAGCCACACUGGGACUGAGACACGGCCCAGACUCCUACGGGAGGCAGCAGUGGGGAAUUUUGGACAAUGGGGGCAACCCUGAUCCAGCAAUGCCGCGUGAGUGAAGAAGGCCUUCGGGUUGUAAAGCUCUUUUGUCAGGGAAGAAACACCGGCUCUAACACAGUCCGGGAAUGACGGUACCUGAAGAAUAAGCACCGGCUAACUACGUGCCAGCAGCCGCCGUAA